rnacentral:rRNA from 1 species
UACGUAGGGGGCAAGCGUUGUCCGGAAUCAUUGGGCGUAAAGCGCGUGUAGGCGGUUCGGUAAGUCGGCUGUGAAAGUCCAGGGCUCAACCCUGGGAUGCCGGUCGAUACUGCCAGACUAGAGUUCGGAAGAGGCGAGUGGAAUUCCCGGUGUAGCGGUGAAAUGCGCAGAUAUCGGGAGGAACACCAAUGGCGAAGGCAGCUCGCUGGGACGUUACUGACGCUGAGACGCGAAAGCGUGGGGAGCAAACAGG